GGGGAUCUAGCUCAGUGGUAGAGCGCUUGCCUAGGAAGCGCAAGGCCCUGGGUUCGGUCCCCAGCUCCA
rnacentral:tRNA from 1 species